UGGGGAAUAUUGCACAAUGGGCGAAAGCCUGAUGCAGCGACGCCGCGUGCGGGAUGAAGGCCUUCGGGUUGUAAACCGCUUUUAAUUGGGAGCAAGCGAGAGUGAGUGUACCUUUUGAAUAAGCACCGGCUAACUACGUGCCAGCAGCCGCGGUAAUACGUAGGGUGCAAGCGUUAUCCGGAAUUAUUGGGCGUAAAGAGCUCGUAGGCGGUUUGUCACGCCUGGUGUGAAAGUCCAUCGCUUAACGGUGGAUCUGCGCCGGGUACGGGCAGGCUAGAGUGCAGUAGGGGAGAUUGGAAUUCCCGGUGUAACGGUGGAAUGUGUAGAUAUCGGGAAGAACACCAAUGGCGAAGGCAGAUCUCUGGGCUGUUACUGACGCUGAGGAGCGAAAGCAU
rnacentral:rRNA from 1 species